GGAGGGAUGCCGGAGUGGUCGAACGGGCUUGACUCGAAAUCAAGUGACGGGUUUACCCGUCCGUGGGUUCGAAUCCCACUCCCUCCGCCA
rnacentral:tRNA from 2 species